AGGGGUAUAGCUCAAUGGUAGAAUGUGUGCUUAGCAUGCACGAGGUCCUGGGUUUAUUCCCCAGAACCUCCA
rfam:Camelus ferus unplaced genomic scaffold scaffold194, whole genome shotgun sequence.